AUGUCCUCGGGGUUCGUCCAUGGGGUAGCAGGUGUCAGAAUUUGCUUCCAGUUAAAGAGAGAGCGAUAUGCCCUUGUAUGUACAUGGCAUGUUUUGCUUAUCUGCUCAUAUAGCCAGAGACAUGUACACUGCUUCCAUUUCUCAUCUCCCGUAAAUAAAGCUGCAGUGAAUCCAGGUACAGAAGUCUGGCUGGUACAGAAGUCUGGCUGCUCUUCGCAGGAUAUAUACACCCAGAAGAUGAAUUGCUGGAUCAUAAGGGAAAUAGUAGCCAAGAGAGAGGACGGCUCUCUUUCAAUUCCAAGAGUCCACACCAGAAAGAGGAAUUCCACCUGUGGACUUGGAAGUUGGGGACACUUGCAUUGGGACCCCGACCCUCUCCCCCAACAGGUAAUUGGACUUUUAUUUUCAGACUGUUUCCUUAUCUGUGAAAUAAGAACUAUAAUAGCCACUAUCUGGAGGGCUGUUGCAAGGUGUGAAUUUAAAAAGAAGUAAUCAUGAAAUACUUCUGAUUUCUUAAUUUAUUCCCUCAGCAACACUGGAUUGAACUCUCAAGAUGGAAGAAAUUUGAAAACAAUAUUAAAAAAAAAUUUUACAAC
rnacentral:lncRNA from 1 species